rnacentral:sRNA from 1 species
CAAUAACCCAAAUAGCAAAGUAGAAAAAACGUAUCUCAUAGACAUCAUCUCGAAUCCAAUCUGUUCCCUAAUCUUCACCUCGUCCCUUUAAAGAAAUAUCGUUCAAGAGUUUGCUUCAUUUUCUUGAAUUUAAUAGUCGGUGCAACGUGUCAUUCAGGAUAAACUGAGAAAAAAAUUGUUGAAAGACUUCCCAUAUUCGUGACAUAUAUUAUGCUUCCAAUCCCAGAAAGCCACACUGUGAAAAUUGCGAAAUUAUUUCGAAAGCUCGAAAAUCUAGGGAUUUAAAAGAUAUAAAUAAGAUAUAACGACAAAUUCAGAUUUUUACCCGUUUCGUUCAGUGGUGUCGCUCAUGGAGAUAGACAAUGGUAGUCCAUCCGGCACAGCAAGUUUUAACCAUCCGAUGUGCACACCAGCAGCAUGUUACUGUGAAGUUAUUCGAAGACGA